CCCAUAGGGAGGGAGAGAAAUCACUGUGGCUCCGCCGGGUCACCAUGGAAACACUGGGGGUCACCAUGGGGUCACCAGGUGUCACCAUGGGAUCACCAGGAGUCACCACGGGAUCACCAGGAGUCACCAUGGGGUCACCAGGAGUCACCAUGGGAUCACCAGGGGUCAUCAUGACAGCACCAGGAGGUCACCAGGGGAUCACCAGGAGUCACCAUGGGAUCACCAGGAAUCACCAUGGGAUCACCAGGAUCUCACUAUGGGAUCACCAGGAGUCACCAUGGCAGCACUGGGAGUCACCAUGGCAGCACCAUAAGGUCACCAUGGGAUCACCAGGAUCUCAUUCACCAUGGGAUCACCAUCAUCUCACCAUGGGAUCACUAGGAUGUCACCAUGGGAUCACCAGGAGUCACCAUGGCAGCACUGGGAGUCACCAUGGGAUCACCGGGAAUCACCAUGGGAUCACCAGGAGUCACCAUGGGAUCACCAGGAGUCACUAUGGCAGCACCAGGAGUCACCAUGGGAUCACCAGGAUGUCCCCAUGGGAUCACCAGGAGUCACCAUGGCAGCACUGGGGGUCACCAUGGGAUCACCGGGAAUCACCAUGGGAUCACCAGGAUGUCACCAUGGGGUCACCAGGAGUCACCAUGGGGUCACCAGGAGUCACCAUGGGAUCACCAUCAUCUCACCAUGGGAUCACUAGGAUGUCACCAUGGGAUCACCAGGAGUCACCAUGGAAACACUGGGGGUGACCAUGGGGUCACCAGGAGUCACCAUGGGAUCACCAGGAUGUCCCGAUGGGAUCACCAGGAGUCACCAUGGCAGCACUGGGAGUCACCAUGGCAGCACCAUAAGGUCACCAUGGGAUCACCAGGAUCUCAUUCACCAUGGGAUCACCAUCAUCUCACCAUGGGAUCACCAGGAAUCACCAUGGGAUCACCAGGAGUCACCAUGGGAUCACCGGGAAUCACCAUGGGAUCACCAGG
rnacentral:lncRNA from 1 species